CUGUUACUCCUUCCGUUCAGCAUUACUUGUCUCAAAAAUGGAUGAUCUAGAAUUAAAAUACGUCUAGAUACAUCCAUUUCUGCGACAAGUAAUUCCGAACGGAGGGAGUAUCUC
rfam:Triticum aestivum genome assembly, contig: Triticum_aestivum_CS42_TGACv1_scaffold_000172_1AL